rnacentral:rRNA from 1 species
AAAUCUGGCUGUCGAGAUGCCUAAAAAGCAUUUCAUAGCAAGGGCCGGGCAAGACCGGUGCCAGCCGCCGCGGUAACACCGGCGGCUCGAGUGGUAACCGUUAUUAUUGGGUCUAAAGGGUCUGUAGCCGGCCGGAUAAGUCUCUUGAGAAAUCUGGCAGCUUAACUGUCAGGCUUUCAGGAGAUACUGUCUGGCUCGAGGCCGGGAGAGGUGAGAGGUACUUCAGGGGUAGGGGUGAAAUCUUGUAAUCCUUGAAGGACCACCAGUGGCGAAGGCGUCUCACCAGAACGGACCUGACGGCAAGGGACGAAAGCUAGGGGCACGAACCGGAUUAGAUACCCGGGUAGUCCUAGCCGUAAACGAUACUCGCUAGGUGUCGGCCACGGUGCGACCGUUGUCGGUGCCGUAGGGAAGCCGUGAAGCGAGCCACCUGGGAAGUACGGCCGCAAGGCUGAAACUUAA